UACGGGAGGCAGCAGUGGGGAAUAUUGCACAAUGGGCGCAAGCCUGAUGCAGCCAUGCCGCGUGUAUGAAGAAGGCCUUCGGGUUGUAAAGUACUUUCAGUCGUGAGGAAGGUGUUAAGGUUAAUAACCUUAGCAAUUGACGUUAGCGACAGAAGAAGCACCGGCUAACUCCGUGCCAGCAGCCGCGGUAAUACGGAGGGUGCGAGCGUUAAUCGGAAUUACUGGGCGUAAAGGGCACGCAGGCGGUUAAUUAAGUUGGAUGUGAAAUCCCCGGGCUUAACCUGGGAAUGGCAUUCAAGACUGGUUAGCUAGAGUCUUGUAGAGGGGGUAGAAUUCCAUGUGUAGCGGUGAAAUGCGUAGAGAUGUGGAGGAAUACCGGGUGGCGAAGGCGGCCCCUGGGACAAAGACUGACGCUCAUGUGCGAAAGCUGGGGAGCAAACAGGGAUUAGAUACC
rnacentral:rRNA from 1 species